rnacentral:rRNA from 1 species
AGCGAACGCUGGCGGCGUGCUUAACACAUGCAAGUCGAACGGGCAAGAGCCGUAGCAAUACGGAGUUCUGCUAGUGGCAAACGGGUGAGUAAUACAUGGGAAUCUACCUUGGAGUCUGGGAUAACAGUUGGAAACGACUGCUAAUACCGGAUAUAACCGAGAGGUAAAAGAUUUAUCGCUCUAAGAUGAGCCCAUGGAGGAUUAGCUAGUUGUUAGGGUAAAGGCCUACCAAGGCGACGAUCCUUAGCUGGUCUGAGAGGAGGAUCAGCCACACUGGAACUGAGACACGGUCCAGACUCCUACGGGAGGCAGCAGUGGGGAAUAUUGGACAAUGGGCGAAAGCCUGAUCCAGCGACGCCGCGUGGGUGAUGAAGGCCUUCUGGUUGUAAAGCCCUUUCAGUGGGAAAGAUAAUGACGGUACCCACAGAAGAAGCUCCGGCAAACUUCGUGCCAGCCGCCGCCGUAA